rnacentral:rRNA from 1 species
ACGCUGGCGGCGUGCCUAAUACAUGCAAGUCGAACAGUCUUUCUAUGGAAGCUUGCUUCCACUGAGAAGAUAGUGGCGAACGGGUGAGUAGCACGUGGGUAACCUGCCCAUAAGAGGGGGAUAACAUCCGGAAACGGGUGCUAAUACCACAUAGUUUUCUUGAUCGCAUGAUCGGGAAAGGAAAGACGGCCUUUGUGCUGUCGCUUAUGGAUGGACCCGCGGCGUAUUAGUUAGUUGGUGAGGUAACGGCUCACCAAGACGAUGAUACGUAGCCGACCUGAGAGGGUGAUCGGCCACAUUGGGACUGAGACACGGCCCAAACUCCUACGGGAGGCAGCAGUAGGGAACCUUCCGCAAUGGACGAAAGUCUGACGGAGCAACGCCGCGUGAGUGAAGAAAAGGUUUUCGGAUCGUAAAACUCUGUUGUCAGAGAAGAACAAGUUGGAGAGUAACUGCUCCAGCCUUGACGGUAUCUGACCAGAAAGCCACGGCUAACUACGUGCCAGCAGCCGC